ACAAAAUUCGGACAGUCAACCGAGCAAUAUCACCCGCUCGAUGGAAAAUCUUCCCUCCGUCGU
rnacentral:pre_miRNA from 1 species